UCAGUCUGGAUACUCUAGGUUGGAUAGCCAGCCUGCCAGUUAAGAGUCUCUCUGGAGUGAAUCACAGUAAGAAUUUGAUGAGGCUGAACCAGGAGUGACUCUGAGUAUAUGUCUUGGUUCCCCCAUCACACCUGUCGAAACACCUAUGGCAUGGAAGUUACCGGGAGCCAGUGUCUCUGUGGCCCUUCAGAAGGACCUCAGGUAGAUGCUGCACCUCCCAUACGGGGCUGGCCAGUAUCCCUUGAGCCCCAUCAAGAAGUUAACAGAAGAGGACAAAGGAGGGGGUGACCCUCUCACCAGAAUUCCCCUGACAGGGUUCCCGGUCUUGGUAAGUCCCUCCUCAUGACAGAUUCUGAGAAUAACAGCGCCCCUGGUGGUUUCUGCUUGGUGGCAUGCUGGUCUUAUGGUGCCCACUCCUUCCCUGGGGGAGAUGCCAAGCAGUCUAGCUGGGUUUAGAGACGCUGGUCCCUGGUGAGUUUUCUCCCUGGGUGGGGUGUGUGUGUGGGGGGACCCGGGCUGCCUGGAGAUUCUGGGAGGUGGUCAGGGACUUUCCUCGCUGAGGUAAACAAUCUGUUGUGUAAGUUCUCAGCUGGGGACCUGUGAUUUGCUGGGGUGGUGGAGAGGACGCAGUGAGGUCAUGGCUGAAAGAUGCUUGGCACUCCCAGUUCAAUGUGAGCUCCCAGCAGGGGAAGAACCAAGGCUCGGGCCAGGAGACCUGAUGUGAGCUAGGUCAAGGUGCUUCUGGUCCCUCGGUCUCCACAUCUUCCCUGUACCAUGUGCCAGGAUGGAUGCCGAACAGAAGGUCCAUAACCUCUAAGCUGUCUAAGGUUUGACUCUCACUGGGGUCCUGUAAGCCAGCAACGAUGGACAGGGCUGGACAGAGCUGGACCGCCCUGCUCAGUGUGGGAGACGAGGCAAAAGUGAACAGAUCCAAUGAGAACUCAGCCAGAUGCACAUGAUGGGGGCAGAGAAGAGAACUCGGCAAGCUGUCCUGUGAUCCACACAUCCCAGCCAUACCUCAGACCGUGGAACUCAGUGGCCUCCUGCUCCUUGUUCCAUAGGAAAUGAAGAAAAAGGAAGUCCCCGUUGUUUGGAAUAUGGCCAACUGAUUUCAAUAUCACAUGUCACUCAAGGCCCGGGCCUCAGAGCCUCUAAGAGUCCUUCCUCCCCAAGAGGCCCUUCAGAACAGAUCCCAGGCCGGCACCAGGAGCCCUGGAUAUGGAAGAGGUGUCCCCUUCGUCCUUAGAACGGCAUGAAGAACUCGGGUGCCUUCAAGUCAACUCUUAAAUAUUUAAUUCCCGUUUAUUUAAAGUCCCAUCAGUCUGUGUACACUAUUUAUAUUAAAAACACAGGAAGCUGGGGCUCCUAGCAAAAAUAUA